AUACAUGUAUAUAUACAUAUAUACACGUGUAUAUAUAUAUAUAUAUACACAUGUGAAUUAUUAUAUAUAUAUAUAUAUACAUAUAUAUAUAUAUACACACACACACACACACACACACACACACACACACGUGUGUGUAUACAUAUACAAAGACAAGAUAUUUGAUGUUCAAACUCAUAAACUUUAUUUUUUUUGCAAAUAAUACUUAACUUAGAAUUUCAUGGCUGCAACACGUGCCAAAGUAGUGGGGAAGGGCAUGUUCACCACUGUGUUACAUCACCUUUUCUUUUAACAACACUCAAUAAACGUUUGGGAACUGAAGAAAAUAAUUGUUGAAGCUUUGAAAGUGUAAUUAAUUCCCUUUUUUUUUUUUAUGUAGAGCUUCAGUCGUUCAACAGUCAGGGGUCUCCGCUGUUGUAUUUUACGCUCUAUAAUGCGCCACACAUUUUCGAUUGGAGACAGGUCCGGACUGGAGGCGGGCCAGGAAAGAACCUGUACUCUUUUUUAAGAAGCCAAGCUGUUGUAACACUUGUCUUGCUGAAAUAAGCAGGGGCGUCCAUGAUAACGUUGCUUGGAUGAUAACAUACAGUAUGUUUCUCCAAAACCUGUAUGGACCUUUCAGCAUUAAUGGUGCCUUUACAGAUGUGUAAGUUACCCAUGCCUUGGGCACUAUUGCACCCUCAUACCAUCACAGAUGCUGGCUUUUGAACUUUGCGUCUAUAACAAUCCGAAUCGUUAUUUUCCUCUUUGUUCUGGAGGACACCACGUCCUCUGCUUCCAAAUAUAAUUUGAAAUGUGGACUUGUCAGACCACAGAACACCUUUCCACUUUGUAUCAGUCCAUCUUAGGUGAGGUCGGGCCCAGCCAAGCCAGCGGCGUUUCAGGAUAUUGUUAAUAAAUGGGUUUGUCUUUGCAUAGUAGAGUUUUAACUUGCACUUACAGAUGUAGCGACCAACUGUAGUUACUGACAGUGGUUUUAUGAAAUUUUCCUGAGCCCAUGUGGUAAUAUCCUUUACACACUGAUGUCGGUUUUUGAUGCAGUACCGCCUGAGGGAUCACAAAUCCGUAAUAUCAUCGCUUACGUGCAGUCGUUUCUCCAGAUUUCUUGAACUUUUUGAUGAUCUUACAGACCAUAGAUGCUAAAAUCCCUAAAUUCCUUGCAAUAGCUCGUUGAGAAAUGUUGUUCUGAAACUGUUUGACAAAUUGGUGACCCUCACUCCAUCCUUGUUUGUGAAUUACUUAGCAUUCAAUGGAAGUAAUUCAUGAAAGUAAUUUCAAUCAUGGCACCCAACUGUUCCUAAUUAGCCCGCACACCUGUGCGAUGUUCCAUAUAAGUGUUUGAUGAGCAUUCCUCAACUUUAUCAGUUGUUAUUGCCACCUUUCCCAACUUCUUUGUCACGGGUUGCUGGCAUCAAAUUCUAAAGUUAAUGAUUUUUUGCAAAAAAAAAAAUGUUUAUCAGUUUGAACGUCAAAUAUGUUGUCUUUGUAACAUAUUCAACUGAAUAUGGAAAUCAUUGUAUUCCGUUUAUAUUUACAUCCAACACAAUUUCCCAACUCAUAUGGAAACGGGGAAAUAUAUAUGUAUAUCACAUCAAAUAAGUUAAAAAAGUUAAAGUACCAAUGAUUGUCACACACACUCUUGGUGUGGCAAAAUUGUUUAUUAUCUACCAACAUCAACCUAUGAUUGUAAAAACCCACAUUUUGUGUUACUAAUGCAUAAAACUGUUGUCUAAACAGGAUGUAGCUGCUCCUCUGAAUGCGAAUUCUGUAUUCCGACAAAAUACAAAAUCUGGCAAGACACCAACACACUGCAUCUCUUACCGUCGACAUUCGUUCCUCCUGCAGCUGUGGACUCUCUUGCUUCCUCCCACCGGCGGCCACCGACCGUCGGAUGCUUACUCCAUGGAGGGAAAAAAAAAAAUCUUAGCCCAGCUGCCUUGCCUCGUCGAGAAACGUGACUUCCCUCGGAGACACUGGCGGUCACCACACCUGUGGCCACACCCCUCCGACUUUCAGUCCUUCACUGUCACUUUCCUCAUCCAAUAAUCUUUCAUCCUGGCUCAAAUUAAUGGGAGAAUCUUCGCUUUCUUGGUCCGAAUCGCUCUCGCUGCUGGUGGCCAUGAUUGUAAACAAUGUGAGGAUGUGAGGAGCUUCGCAACCCGUGGCGUCACGCGCACAUUGUCUGCUACUUCCGGUACAGGCAAGGCUUUUGUAUUAGCGACCAAAAGUUGCGAACUCUGUCGUCGAUGUUCUCUACUUAACCCUUUCAGCAAAAAUAUGGCAAUAUCGCAAAAUGAUCAAGUAUGACACAUAGAAUGGACCUGCUAUUCCCGUUUAAAUAAGAAAUUUUCAUUUCAGUUGGCCUUUAAAUAUUCAAGACAAAAGUACUUUUACAUAUAUUGAGUCGGCAUACUUCACUGUUGCUUCCGGCGACUUAUCUUCUAUUUUGUCUCACAUUGUGGUUCUCUUUUAGCUAGUUGAGACUCUUUCAGUAACGCUGAUGCUAUUCAGCGUUUGACACCAUACAAGGCAUAUGUGUCUAUAAUUUUAAGGAAAAUAAGUUUGGACUUCUAAGAGCUUUAAGAUAUUUGAAAAUUGAAAUGUCACUGUAAUAGAAACAAAAACAACAACAACCAGAAAACCAAAAAGAAGGUUACAUAGUGGGAAAUACUGUAGCAGCAAAAAGUAUAGCUCCCCCUAUUGUCAGGAGGGUGCAACAACAGAAACAGACUCCACCAUAGCAAGAAAUGGAUCAUCCUACAAGAGUGGAAUAUACGAACGGAAUUAAAGUCAAUGAAGACUAAAUGGGGACGGCGUGGCAGAGUUGGGAGAGUGGCCGUGCCAGCAACCUGAGGGUUCCUGGUUCAAUUCCCACCUUCUACCAACCUCGUCAUGUCCGUUGUCUCCUUAAAGCAAGACACUUCGCCCUUGCUCCUGAUGGGUCAUGGUAAGGGCCUUGCAUGGCAGCUCCAACCAUCAGUGUGUGAAGGGGUGAAUGUGAAAAUAGUGUCAAAGCGCUUUGAGUACGCUGAAGGUAGAAAAGGUAGUAAAUGCUAACAAAAUGUGUUUCCUAAAAUGAGUACACGACACAAGAGUGUGCAAAGUUUUUCCACUGUUUUCCUGUUUGGAUACAUUUUUUUUUUUUGAACAGGUUAAAAACCCAACCUAUGUAUGUAUACAUGUAAUAUAUCUGAAGAAUAAACACUUUGCGUAUGA